AACGAACGCUGGCGGCAGGCUUAACACAUGCAAGUCGAACGGGUGUAGCAAUACAUCAGUGGCAGACGGGUGAGUAACACGUGGGAACCUUCCUAGGGGUACGGAACAACUCAGGGAAACUUGAGCUAAUACCGUAUACGUCCGUGAGGAGAAAGAUUUAUCGCCCUUAGACGGGCCCGCGUCGGAUUAGCUAGUUGGUGGGGUAACGGCCUACCAAGGCGACGAUCCGUAGCUGAUCUUAGAGGAUGAUCAGCCACACUGGGACUGAGACACGGCCCAGACUCCUACGGGAGGCAGCAGUGGGGAAUCUUGGACAAUGGGCGCAAGCCUGAUCCAGCCAUGCCGCGUGAGUGAAGAAGGUCUUCGGAUUGUAAAGCUCUUUCGCCGGUGAAGAUAAUGACGGUAACCGGAGAAGAAGCCCCGGCUAACUUCGUGCCAGCCGCCGCCGUAA
rnacentral:rRNA from 1 species